UCUACUAUUGCCCAAAAUUCUUAUUUCUUCGAUACCCAAACACUAUUCAUCAUCUUCAACAAUAUACAUUCUCUGCAAACCCUAAAUUUCGUGCAACGUCAAGAUUUGUUUCGCUUUAGGCCAUUUGAAAACCCCUCACCUUCUCAAUAUUCUUCUUCCUCUUCUCUAAACCUACGACACCAACGACACCACCUUCUAGUUCCAUCUCUGAGAUGUUUGGAAACAAGCGUGAAAACAACAAUAUCAACCAAUCUUGUUCUUUGAAUUUUUGAGAUAAACAUCAUGCCUCAUCCUUCUCCUUUCCCUGAUUUCUUGAAGAUCAAACAGCUUUUUCCUCUCUCAUUUCUUUGAAUUUUAGAAGCAAGUGGCUUCCACACCCACCUUAUCAUUCGAAGGAAAAAUUAAUAACAAGAUUAUAUCCGAAUUGUCGCUUGUGCCUCAUUUCACCCCGACUCCUUAAAGGAAGGAUACGACUACGUCAUGAACCCUUCUAGUCAAUUGCGGUGAACCGGUCUUGACUCCCUAAAGCAUCUUUUCGGUGAUUAGUAACAAUCUCUAAAAGGGGUUUGACCAGACUACAUUCUUGAAAAUAAACUUUUUACUAAAGCUCUUUUCAAAUUGAAAAUUGUUGAGACAAAUGUUGUGGCUGCUUAUGUUGAUAUUACGAUAUGGUCAAUGGAUUAGGUUUGCUAGCUGGUCAUUGACGGAGUUGAGGAACAUUGUUCCCUACUCCCUAUUUUUGAGGCGAGUUGUCACUCAGAUAUUUAUUAGCUUCACCCGAGAGCGACAUAGCCUUAGAGCUAUGGGUGGAACAACCCUGAAUUUCUAACCCCUUUAACGAAACCAGAAUCGUGAAGGAAGGGAGGAGAUUCGAGUGUUGCAUAAAAAGAAAAGGGAAAAUAAUUAAAAUAAACGCUAAAGAUUAAUUGAAAAGAUGAGUAAGUGGAAAUUUCGACAGCAUCUCUGCUGAAAACUGAGGUUGUGACAAGAAUAUAUAAAUGGAUAACAUAACUAAAAUAAUCUAAGGCCUUUAAUGCCUUCAAGAAUACGUCACGACAGAAAGAAUCAUCGUCGGCUUCUCAAAUCAUCAACUCUAACGAGGAUCGUGGUUCCAGUGUUAACGCAUCGAUCUGACGGAUAUUAAAGGAGUAUUCUCAUUACUAUACAUUCAAAAACUACGCAGCGGAACUAUGGAUCAUACAAGGAGUCACAUGGCUCCAUACAAAAGAAAUUAUACAAUCCCAAAAGAAAACUUUACAAGUAAUAUAGAAGCUACAAGCAUAAGGCAAUUUGCACACAAUUGUUACGACCGUACUCCACUCUUUCCCCCAAUGCAAAGCAAAAGAAGCUCCUGUACCUGUCAUGUCAAGCUAUGAUCCUCCUGCUGCUCAACAUAAUGACCAAAGUCAGAUGUGUCAUAGCAGGAAUAUCAUAGAGAGUCAUGAACAAACAACAACAAACACAUACACAUUAGUAAUUAAUGAACUUAUAAUAAUUAAAGUCAUUGAACAAAACUAUAGACAACGAUAUAGUAUGGCAAUAACGAGUUUACUCAUCUGUCUAAACACCUUUAUUUACUCAUAAUUUCUCUUUCAAACUACUAAUCUCUGGAAGUAUAUUCAAGGUAUUGGAUCUUUUCUCUAUUCAUGGCAUAGUGACAUGGCCAAGUGCGUUAUCGGCCACCCGGCGCCCAUGGCAAAGUAUGAGCUCAUGCCACCUCCAGUUGACCAUCUCGGGUCCUACCUUCGGGAAAAAGUAACACACUGGGGUACUAAACCAGUGAAGAGGCCACCAAUCCAUAUUGGGGUUUGCAAGGUAACACCUCAGUUAAGGGGCAGUAUCUGCCACCCGGCGCCCAAUGACCCAAGCAUGCUCGACCCCCCUUACGGUGGUCCCGUCGGACCUCACCUAGGGGACUACUAAAUCAACCGGACAUAAUCCAGUUAAGUCACGCCAACUAAUCAUAAAUCAAGGCUCAAUAAGUAGGAAAUCACUUCGUCACCACACAACCAUGGUGCGUUCUCUACUAUUUAGAAAUCUGUUCUCAUAGUCUCCUAAUGCUUUCAUUCUACUUGCCUAUAUCACUAUUAUGACUAUUCACUAGCAUGACUGGUGUUCUAUAAUUCUAAUACGAUGCAUAUAAUCAUGAAAUAUGGAUAAUACUUUGAAAUAAUGAAUAUGAUAAUUAAUUACUGCGUAUACGUAUCUGCAAGCGUCACUGCGCGACCACAAGAUACAAAAAUCACCUGUCUAAGGUUCUACUUUUCUCUUAUGAAGUGGGCACCUAUAUAAGUUAUGAAUAGAAUUAUAGAACUAAUAAGUUCCUUUAACUACUUUGUCAUAUCAGCUAAAAGCCAAAGUAACCACUAUCAUCUAUUCAUGACAAGUUUUCAAUUACUUCUAGCACGUACGCAUCUCAUUCAACACCAAGCAUAAUCGUCAAUUCAAUAAUAACACAAGUUUUUCCAUCGACAAAAAAUAAAAGGAUUAUGUCAACUGCUUCAUUACACCAACUAACUUUGAGUUAUAACGAUUCACAUUGUCUUAAAAUAAAAUGACGAUUCACACUUAAGUCUCACAAUGUUAGUGUAGUGCUAAUAUGACGACAAGAACAAAUCUUAAGGUUAUCGCAUUGCAAUAUCAUUUAUUAUAUCCUCUAAGGUUAGAAAGAACUAAAAUCAAGACAUCAUAACAGGUAACUUUAAUAAUUCUCAACAAGUUGACACUAUGUUCAUGGUCUUACUAAUAUCAUUUAAUUAUAACUUUGAUAACCUAACGAAGUUACUUGUAAUCAACAUUAAUAAUUUCUGUUACUUUAACAAGGCCAUUUAAGACUACCAUGCCUAACAAAACUUCCACAUUCAACACAAAUAAAGUUACUCAUGUACUAAGACACCAUCAAAAUAGCACACAACCAUUAUUUCAUUCAUACUUCAACUCUAAGCCAUAAAUAUGUUAAACUCAUCAAACACACUCUUACCCACAAAAAGGUUCAAUGAAAAUAAUAUAAGGUUCAACACUUUUCAUUCAUAUUUCAAAAACCCAAUUCAUAAGUGCAUUUAAAUCAUCAAUCAAAUUCUUACCCAUAACAAGAUUCAAUGAAUUUAAUACAAAAUCAACACCAAACUCAUAAGCCUUUAUAAAAUUCUAAUUAGAUACCAGGAAGAUUACUUAGUGUAAACUUGAGAGGCUUACAAUGGGGCAAUUAGAAAAAGAGUAAGGACUAGUCGCGGCUGGACCGUGGUUGUUGGUUGCGGCAGCCUUCAAGGCAGAAGGGGAGGAGCAAGUUGGCGGUCGUGGCUGCAGCAGACGCAUAGCAGGUGGUGGCGCUAGUUGCUGGGCAGCUGCUGUUUGGGGGGAAAAACGUAGCCCCUGCUGCUGCUUGCGAAGAGAGGCGAGGGCAACUGCUUGCUGGUGGGAAAGUGAGAAGGCGACUGCUGGUUGGCGAAAGGAGGAGGCGGCGUAAGAGGAGAAGAGAGAAAGAAGGAGGAGAAGAAGAAAGGAGAAUUACGGCUAGGUUUUGAGCAAGGAGGGCUUUAUGCGUUUUAUCCUUGUUAUUAUUAUUAUUAUUAUUAUUAGGUUUAUUUAUUUAUUUUUAUCUCGAUUCAUUUUCUUGCUAGACCCAACUAAGAGACUCACCUUUGUAGGCUCACACAUUUUAAUAAAAUAAUCAUUUUGAUUCGAACCUUUUUAUUUGA